GAUGAACGCUGGCGGCGUGCCUAAUACAUGCAAGUCGAGCGAACAGAUAAGGAGCCUGCUCCUUUGACGUUAGCGGCGGACGGGUGAGUAACACGUGGGUAACCUACCUAUAAGACUGGAAUAACUCCGGGAAACCGGGGCUAAUGCCGGAUAACAUUUAGAACCGCAUGGUUCUAAAGUGAAAGAUGGUUUUGCUAUCACUUAUAGAUGGACCCGCGCCGUAUUAGCUAGUUGGUAAGGUAACGGCUUACCAAGGCAACGAUACGUAGCCGACCUGAGAGGGUGAUCGGCCACACUGGAACUGAGACACGGUCCAGACUCCUACGGGAGGCAGCAGUAGGGAAUCUUCCGCAAUGGGCGAAAGCCUGACGGAGCAACGCCGCGUGAGUGAUGAAGGUCUUCGGAUCGUAAAACUCUGUUAUUAGGGAAGAACAAAUGUGUAAGUAACUGUGCACGUCUUGACGGUACCUAAUCAGAAAGCCACGGCUAACUACGUG
rnacentral:rRNA from 1 species